CGAGGCGAACCGGGGAAACUGAAACAUCUCAGUACCCCGAGGAAAAGAAAUCAACCGAGAUUCCCCCAGUAGCGGCGAGCGAACAGGGAGCAGCCCAGAGUCAACAUCAAUAUUUACCGCAGGAGAAGGGUCUGGAAAGGCCGGCAAUAAAGGGUGAUAGCCCCGUAUCUGAAGCGGUAAGUGUUGUGAACUCGAAGAGUAAGGCGGGACACGUGUUAUCCUGUCUGAAUAUGGGGGGACCAUCCUCCAAGGCUAAAUACUCCUGACUGACCGAUAGUGAACCAGUACCGUGAGGGAAAGGCGAAAAGAACCCCGGCGAGGGGAGUGAAAUAGAACCUGAAACCGUGUACGUACAAGCAGUAGGAGCACCCGAAAAGGUGUGACUGCGUACCUUUUGUAUAAUGGGUCAGCGACUUAUAUUCUGUAGCAAGGUUAACCGCAUAGGGGAGCCGUAGGGAAACCGAGUCUUAACUGGGCGUUAAGUUGCAGGGUAUAGACCCGAAACCCGGUGAUCUAGCCAUGGGCAGGUUGAAG
rnacentral:rRNA from 1 species